CGAAAAAUAUUCUCUCUUUCUUAGUCCCUCCCCAGAAACCCAUCGAGAAGAUAUGAUACCCUAGAUUUUAUUCAUCCACUUCCUUCAAAAAUAAAAAUAAAUUCAUCCACUAAUUGUGUGUAUCAGUCACUUACUACUUGUUAUUCUCUUCGUUAGGUUUCGAUUUCUUUCACAAAGAAUACAAAUCCACAUUGGAGCAAUGGACAUUUACGGAUCGAGAUUUGUUCCUAGAAAAGCUAUCGAUUGGUUAAUGUUCUGUUCGAUUUGAACAUCUUUUGAUUCUUAAAGCUCUGGUUUCUUCGAAUUGAUCCAUCUCCUUCUAAAUCGUCUUUUCAUGGUGGUGUUGGUCUUCAAAAUUAAGUUAGUUGAAUCAAUUUCGUAAGUCUCUGAAAACCUAAGUUUGGAAUAUUUUUUUAUUAUUUAUUAUAUGGUAAUUUCUUAUAAUAGUUUCUACAGAUUUGAUUCUUUCGAUUUCUUAUAUCACUAGUUGGAUUCUAAUUCCAACAAAAUUUUGAUACCCUAAAUCUGGAGGUUAAAUUUUUUUUUUUUUUUUGGUUUUGUUGAUGGAUAUUUAUUAGCUUCAUUGUAGGCAGCGUCGUCACAGACGUAUUAUUGAGAAUCCCCCUUCAUUGUUUAUGCAUUUUCAGCGACUUGAAGAAAAUUCACAUAAUCCAGAUUAACAAUGGUAUAUAUGUAUAUCGUUAGUGAUAGUUUUGUCGAUUUAUUGGUUUCAUUCGUGUCUCCAGAAUGAAAUGAUUACUGAUAAAUCAGUUUAGUAUCCAGUUUGUCAUUGGGGUAAAUCAGUUUAAUAUUGUAACUAUGCUCUCAUUUCUGAUAAAUGAUUGUAAUUGUUCACAAGUGUUAACUAAUAUGAAUAAUUCCCAGCUUUAUGAAUGCUUGUGAAUUUCAUUUGUUUCUUGAGUUUUACUUCCUGAACAAGCUAAUGGGGUGAGGUUUCUUUAUGAGCACUAGUUUCUGGGCCAAGAAAUCAGUAUUAUGUCAUGGUGUGAAUUAUCUUUUUCUUCUUGUGUUACAAUAAAAAUUUGCAGUUAAGUAUUUUUUUUAUGUGAAUCGGAUUAGGGGGAUUGUAAUUGCAAACUUUUAUAGUACUUAGUGUGAUCGCUGUGGGGUAAGUGGUGCAAGGCAUCAGUAUGGGACCCAAAAUCUAAAAUCUACCUUCAUUCUGCUUGAAAGUGUUAAGUGUCCAAGGAGGCUGUAACAUGUAAAUCCAGGAGAAGAGACCAAUUGUCGUUUCUGCUUCUGUAAGUUGCUUGGGCAUUUUCCUAGCAGUCUUGCCGUUUCUCUUGCAGGAUGGUCAUUUUUCAAAAGAGUCCAAUAUUGGCCAUUACCGGCUACUACAUGCAAUGCAAAAGACUGUUCGUAUUAGGUGUCUAAAUUAAUCACUUGGAGGAGUUUUCACUUCAUUCUACCAAUCUAAAAAUAACGAGCACUACUUCUUUGAUGAUUAGGUUUUAUGUUUUAUCAUAGAGUCUUAUGUCGUUCAGUAGUUUGUUUUUCAUUUUAAUUUAAAUUUCAUUAUCAGUGACAAAGCUCUAUUUAUUUGCUGGAUCUUAUGAGGUUUUGUCUCUCUUAUAUUUAUAAACAAGUUCUUUUUGGGAGAAUCAUGACUCGCUGAACAUCUUUUGCCUAUGAAAUUUGAGUUUUGAAAGCUGUGGUAUGUAUAUUGUCUCAGUUAUCUCUUAUUCCAGAUUUUGUUUGAUUGAAUUGUUAGGUAGAUUGGGGUUUAUUUUUCCAAAUUAUCCAGGAAAUCGACAGUGCAGGAAGGUUGCCAGUAUAGCGAUUAAUUUCAGGUAUCAUUAGGAGCGUGAGCUUCUCGGGAAAAAUACUAAUCACGAGCUCAGCUGCAAGGUCACUGGGAUCCUGCAUUUUAGCUCCAUACAUGACCAGUUGGAUGAAUAGCUGCGAGUAGAGCAUAUCAAAUCUCCUGUUGUUAUCCUGUAAACAUGGCUGCUCAAAGAUCCAGAUAACUAUAUCUCUUUUAGUCUUUUAUGAUCCUAACUGUAACCAAUUUUUUUUUAAUCGUUCAUCGUAUCUUUUUGACUUACAUACUGCUGUUCUUUUCAUAUGUUUUUCAUAUUGGUGGGAGCAUCAUCAUGCCUGGCUAACUUAUUAAUAGUGAGCGCAAGAAUCACUUAUGAAGCCAUCAAAUCGAUAACUUUGGCGUACUUAUAGACACAAGUGGAACAACUGCACCCUGGAAGGUGUUACGCUCACACAUCUGAAUCUAUUGCCUAAGGUAUCAAUCUUACUUUGUGUUAACUAACAAGAUUAACUUCUUUUUCUGCUACCUUGAUGUACAGAAUACAGAACCAGAUGUGUUUUCUGUGAUUGAUUUUGUGCACUAAUACACUCAUUCAGGUAUUGCUUUUCCAAGUGGAAUUGCUGUCAUAUUAUGUUUUCCACUGGUUUUUAUGCUAUUUCAUACCAUGUGAUGUAUCCUGAUUUCCUAUUUAUCUAGCUUGAGCCCUGGAAUUUAUCAAUAGUAACAUGUUCGCACUUUGAGAAGAACACAGGGUUGUUGGUGCAUAAAAAGCAGCUGUUAUUAGAUACAUUUGGCCUGAGGAUAAAACUUUUAUGACGAUAAUCCUGUACUUGGAUUACAUAUCUGAUCUAUCUGGACCGGAAGAAGAGAACACAUUAUGCUAGAUCGAAUGAUGGAUGGAUUCCUCACGCAUCAAAGUUAGACAUAGUACUGUAGCCCAAAUACCCAAGGGAAACUGAGCCCUCACUUGCUGACAUCAUAGUAUCGUACCUGCAAAACCUGAUAAUAGAUUUAUAAGCAUGAUUUAACCUUGCCAUGCAUACUAGGGAGCUGCUGAGUUUUCAUUUCAGUAUGGGACCUAUGGGUUGAGCAAGUAUACGCGACCAUGUUGAAGGCCUAAAGCUAAAGCGAAACCCAAGGAAUUUGAGUACACAUCCAAGAAACCAAGGGAAUGUAAGUACAAAUCCAAGGACGGUGAUUAUGUAGUAAUGCCGUUGGAAAUCGAAGCCAUGAGGUUCUGUAGCAAAGAAAAAGGAUAUGUCUGCUGCAAAAUUGGUCCUAGUGAUGCAGUUGUUGAUUUGGAGAACCCAGUUCUGCAAUUCAGUCCAUCUUUCUCGCCUGGGUAUGUCAGCACCAAUGGCGCUAAACAAAUUGUACAUUGUGAUCGUGUGCAAAUUGGCGGUAUGUCUAGGCUAAAUUCCAGAUCUAUGUGAAACCCCUUCGGGUUACUCUUACACCAUCUGUUGUCAUACCUGAAAAACUCCAUAACAAAGUUCAAGUAUGUUUCCAUAGGAAUGCUUCUCUUGGAUUGUGUCAGUGCGGGAAAGACGACUAGAAGGCCAUCCAAAAUGGCCAAUGGAAUGGUUUGAUGUCACCUUAUGAGAAAGAUAAAUUCGACUGCGACAUCAUUUUGAUGUAAAACACGAUCAAGUAGCUAGGUAGUGUUUUCAUUUGAAAUUUCUUUACGGCUGGGCAUUAUAUAGGAAUUUGUCUCAAAAACUUGGAAUCUUUGUUGAUCUUGGUUAAUAGACAGAAAUUGAUGCUUUGAGAAUAAAUGAAAGUUGAGUUUUGAUA